rnacentral:lncRNA from 1 species
CAAAGGCAAGAAAAUGUUCACUUUUGCCUUUGGUUCCUCAGCCGCCCUUUCCCUGCAGUGGAGCUUUUGUAGUAUGAUUCCAGAUCUGAAAGAACCUCCAAAGAGAAGAACAUGCCCAGGCAAGCCCAGAAGUCCCAGGAGGAGGGGCAAAGUCACCUGGAACGGAGACACUCUCACCUCAUAAAGGUCAGACCUGCUCAGCCAAGUGCUGUCCAGAUCAACCAAUUCUGCCAGGUGGCAGAGAUCUUCAGUCAAGUGUACGC